rnacentral:rRNA from 1 species
UACGUAGGGCGCAAGCGUUGUCCGGAAUUAUUGGGCGUAAAGAGCUCGUAGGCGGUUUGUCGCGUCUGCUGUGAAAUCCCGAGGCUCAACCUCGGGCUUGCAGUGGGUACGAGCAGACUAGAGUGCGGUAGGGGAGACUGGAAUUCCUGGUGUAGCGGUGGAAUGCGCAGAUAUCAGGAGGAACACCGAUGGCGAAGGCAGGUCUCUGGGCCGCAACUGACGCUGAGGAGCGAAAGCAUGGGGAGCGAACAGG